rnacentral:rRNA from 1 species
GACGUGCACCGAAGCUUAGGGUGUGGAUUUAUCCACGCGGUAGCGGAGCGUUCCGUAAGCCUGCGAAGCGAUCUGGUAAUGGGUCGUGGAGGUAUCGGAAGUGCGAAUGCUGACAUGAGUAACGAUAAAGAGGGUGAGAUGCCCUCUCGCCGAAAGCCCAAGGUUUCCUGCGCAACGUUAAUCGGCGCAGGGUGAGUCGGCCCCUAAGACGAGCCCGAAGGGGGUAGUCGAUGGGAAUGCGGUUAAUAUUCCGCAGCC